GAUGAACGCUGGCGGCGUGCCUAAUACAUGCAAGUCGAGCGAACAGACGAGGAGUUUGCUCUUCUGACGUUAGCGUCGGACGGGUGAGUAACACGUGGAUAACCUACCUAUAAUACUGGCAUAAUUUCGGGAAACCGGAGCUAAUACCGUACAAUAUAUUGAACCGCAUGGUUCAAUAGUUAAGGUCGGUAUUGCUGUCCCUUAUUAAUGGAUCCGCGCCGCAUUAGCUUGUUCGUAAGGUACCGGCUGACCAAGGCAACGAUGCGUAGCCGACCUGAGAGGGUGGUAGGCCACACGGGAAAUGAGACACGGGCCCGACUCCUACGCGAGGUAGCAGAAGGGAAUCUACGGCAAUAGACGAUAGCCUGACACAGCAACGCAGCAAGAAUGAUCAAGGUCUAAGAAGCAGAAAACUAUGAGACUAAAGAGAAACAAAGGUGUAAGAAAAUAUGUGCUUCUUGACAAUACCUAAUCAGAAAGCAGCGGCUAACUGCAGG
rnacentral:rRNA from 1 species